GAUAUUCUAGCUCUGCUAGCUCAAUGUGACUCAUGCUAUAUGCGGGCUUCGAGAUCGGUUGGUUUGCAGCCAGUAAUUCAAUCAGGAACUCUACCUCACAUUGGGGAGGUAAACCAGGGAGUUCGAUGGGAAAGACAUCAGAAAAAUUGUAAACAAUGGGUAUGGAACACACAGCAGGAUCAACGUCCAUAUUCCUGUUCAUUCAUCUGUUAGAAAAAAAAAUGAU
rnacentral:lncRNA from 1 species